rnacentral:rRNA from 1 species
GGGAUAACACUUGGAAACAGGUGCUAAUACCGUAUAACACUAUUUUCCGCAUGGAAGAAAGUUGAAAGGCGCUUUUGCGUCACUGAUGGAUGGACCCGCGGUGCAUUAGCUAGUUGGUGAGGUAACGGCUCACCAAGGCCACGAUGCAUAGCCGACCUGAGAGGGUGAUCGGCCACACUGGGACUGAGACACGGCCCAGACUCCUACGGGAGGCAGCAGUAGGGAAUCUUCGGCAAUGGACGAAAGUCUGACCGAGCAACGCCGCGUGAGUGAAGAAGGUUUUCGGAUCGUAAAACUCUGUUGUUAGAGAAGAACAAGGAUGAGAGUAAAAUGUUCAUCCCUUGACGGUAUCUAACCAGAAAGCCACGGCUAACUACGUGCCAGCAGCCGCGGUAAUACGUAGGUGGCAAGCGUUGUCCGGAUUUAUUGGGCGUAAAGCGAGCGCAGGCGGUUUCUUAAGUCUGAUGUGAAAGCCCCCGGCUCAACCGGGGAGGGUCAUUGGAAACUGGGAGACUUGAGUGCGGAAGAGGAGAGUGGAAUUCCAUGUGUAGCGGUGAAAUGCGUAGAUAUAUGGAGGAACACCAGUGGCGAAGGCGGCUCUCUGGUCUGUAACUGACGCUGAGGCUCGAAAGCGUGGGGAGCGAACAGGAUUAGAUACCCUGGUAGUCCACGCCGUAAACGAUGAGUGCUAAGUGUUGGAGGGUUUCCGCCCUUCAGUGCUGCAGCA